ACUCUCUCUCGACUCGGUCUCUCCUCUCCCUCUCCAUCUCCAUCUCCAUCUCCAUCUCGAUCUCGAUCUGCUCAACUGAGCUCUUUAUUCUCUUCUCAAUCUCUGAACUCUAUCAUCGUGUAGAACUCUAUCAUCAGUUCAUCAGAGUUUGAAGAAGAACUGGUCAGAGUUGGUUUAAGAAGAACUAAGUAGGUGCUUGUGAUACUGCACUGCAAAACAAGGAAAGGAGAAAAAGGGGAAGCAGCACACAAUUGAUUAUAGUGCCUAAACCCAGUUUUAUACUGGCGGAUUCUUAUGAUCUUGAUAGCCAUUAUAUUUGGUUCCGUCGACAGCAAUUGAUGGUACCUUGGUAUUGGUAUCUCUUAUUGGGUUUUAUCGAUGUUCAAGCCAAUUUUUUAGUGAUCAAGGCAUAUCAAUAUUCGUCGAUUAUGAGUGUCACGUUAUUGGAUUGCUGGACAACACCAUGGGUUAUGAUCUUAACAUGGAUAUUCAUAUGGACUAGAUAUAGUCUAUGUCAGUUCUUUGGUGCAGCUAUAUGUGAGUUGUCCAGGUACUAAUUGAAAUCAUUUCCAAGUGGGUCGGCUCCUCUUCUUGGUGACGCGCUUGUCAUUGCUGGAACACUUGGUUAUGCACUAAGUAAUGUUGGAGGAUCUGUGCUAUUCAAAAUCUCAAUUCUGAAUCUGAUUUUUGGGUACUCAUCAUUCGGGUCUUCGUUUAUCAGCAGAGCAUCCCCUGGUUAUACUAUCUCUCAUUUGUUGUUCUUCCUCCCUGUUCAGAUGGGCCUCGCAGUUGCUUUCAAAGUUUGAAGAUGAGAUAAACAACACAGUUGAAGCAUACUGGAUUUGUAAGUUUAUGUAGGAGCAGCUGCAAGAUUUGUGAGUUUAUGUAGUAUCUCCUUAUAGUGAUUUAAGUAAGAAUAACUUAGGAAUUUUGUAACUUUCUAUGAGCUGAACUUAGCAACUAAGUUUCUAUGUGUGCACUAGUUUGCUGUGAUACUUAGUAUAUACA